rnacentral:rRNA from 1 species
AGGACUAACGCUGGCGGCGUGCCUAACACAUGCAAGUCGAACGAGAGUAGCAAUACUCUAGUGGCAGACGGGUGAGUAACACGUGGUCAACCUACCUCUUAGUGGGGGAUAACUAGCCGAAAGGUUAGCUAAUACCGCAUUCGAUCUUCGAUCGGCAUCGAUUGAAGAUGAAAGGCGCAAGUCGCUAAGAGACGGGACCGCGUCCCAUUAGCUAGUUGGUAGGGUAAUGGCCUACCAAGGCGACGAUGGGUAGCUGGCUUGAGAGAGCGACCAGCCGCACUGGGACUGAGACACGGCCCAGACUCCUACGGGAGGCAGCAGUGAGGAAUUUUCCGCAAUGGGCGAAAGCCUGACGGAGCGACGCCGCGUGUGGGAGAAGGCCUUCGGGUCGUAACCACUGUCGAAGGGGAGAUAUUGACGGUACCCUUGGAGGAAGCCCCGGCUAACUACGUGCCAGCCAGCCGC